rnacentral:rRNA from 1 species
UACAGAGACCUCAAGCGUUAUCCGGAUUCAUUGGGCGUAAAGCGUACCGAUCGGUGGUUUUGAAAGUGCCAAGUUAAAUCCAGGGGCUCAACUUCUGGUCCACUUGGCAAACUACAAGGCUCGAGGGGCAAAGAGGAAGUCGGAACGAACGGUGUAGCAGUGAAAUGCGUUGAUAUCGUUCGGAACACCAAUAGCGAAGGCAGACUUCUGGGUGCCACCUGACACUGCUAGGACGAGAGCGUGGG